rnacentral:rRNA from 1 species
UGGAGGAAAAACCCCCGCAUAAGUCGAAGGUGUGACGCGGACCGAAAAAGAGUAGGGAAGCUGUUAAGCAAGCCGUCAAGAAAAGCUGCUAUUGUUUCAUUAUGGCCCGUACCGUAAACCAACACAGGUGGAUGGGGAGAGAAUCCUAAGGCCGGCGGAAGAAGUAUUGUUAAGGAACUCGGCAAAAUGACCCCGUAACUUCGGGAGAAGGGGUGCCUGCGUGAGCAGGCCGCAGAGAAGAGGCCCAAGCAACUGUUUAGCAAAACACAGGUCUAUGCAAAACCGAAAGGUGAGGUAUAUGGGCUGACGCCUGCCCGGUGCUGGAAGGUUAAGGGGAGUGGUCAGGAAACGAAGCCACGAACUUAAGCCCCAGUAAACGGCGGCCGUAACUAUAACGGUCCUAAGGUAGCGAAAUUCCUUGUCGGGUAAGUUCCGACCCGCACGAAAGGCGUAAUGAUUUGGGCGCUGUCUCGACAAUACAUCCGGUGAAAUUGAAGUGCCAGUGAAGAUGCUGGCUACCUGCGCCAGGACGGAAAGACUCCAUGGAGCUUUACUCCAGCUUGAUACUGGGACCCGGUAUUGCAUGUACAGGAUAGGUGGGAGGCUAGGAAAUGUGGACGCCAGUCUGCAUGGAGCCGCUGUUGGGAUACCACCCUUGUGGUGCUGGGUUUCUAACCAGAGGCCGUGAACCGGUCUGGGGACAAUGUCAGGUGGGGAGUUUGACAGGGGCGGUCGCCUCCGAAAGGGUAUCGGAGGCGCCCAAAGGUUCCCUCAGAAUGGUUGGAAACCAUUCGAAGAGUGCAAAGGCAGAAGGGAGCCUGACUGCGACACCGACGGGUGGAGCAGGUACGAAAGUAGGGCUUAGUGAUCCGGUGGAAUUUAAGUGGGAAUGCCAUCGCUCAACGGAUAAAAGCUACCCUGGGAUAACAGGCUGAUCACUCCCAAGAGUUCACAUCGACGGAGUGGUUUGGCACCUCGAUGUCGGCUCAUCGCAUCCUGGGGCUGAAGUCGGUCCCAAGGGUUGGGCUGUUCGCCCAUUAAAGCGGUACGCGAGCUGGGUUCAGAACGUCGUGAGACAGUUCGGUCCCUAUCCGGCGUGGGCGUAGGAUAUCUGAGAGGAGCUGUCCUUAGUACGAGAGGGCCGGGAUGGACUGACCUCUGGUGUACCGGUUGGCGAUCAACGCCACGGCCGGGUAGCCAUGUCGGGACGGGAUAAACGCUGAAGGCAUCUAAGCGUGAAGCCCCCCUCAAGAUGAGAUAUCCCAUCGUAAGAGUAAGACCCCUUGAAGACGACGAGGUUGAUAGGGCAGGGGUGGAAGUGCCGUAAGGCAUGGAGCUGACUGCUACUAAUCGGUCGAGGGCUUGACC